UACAGAGGGGGCAAGCGUUAUUCGGAAUUAUUGGGCGUAAAGGGCGCGUAGGCGGCCAUUCAAGUGACGGGUGAAAGCCCUCGGCUUAACCGAGGAACUGCCUGUCAGACUGGAUGGCUUGAGACCGGGAGAGGUGAGUGGAAUUCCCAGUGUAGCGGUGAAAUGCGUUGAUAUUGGGAGGAACACCAGUGGCGAAGGCGGCUCACUGGACCGGAACUGACGCUGAGGCGCGAAAGCGUGGGGAGCAAACAGG
rnacentral:rRNA from 1 species